rnacentral:lncRNA from 1 species
UGAUCUCUGUAAGUAUAAUAGUGAAUUUAAAUUUAUAAUGCAUUUCAAUUUAAUUAAAUUGUAAUUUAACUCACUGUAAAAUAGAUUUUUCUGUUUUAUUUUUAAUUUUUUAAUGUUAAUUUUGAUGUUUUAUUUUUUGUAAAUAAAACAAAUUAUGUCAUAGGAUAUCAAAAUUAUCAAAGGGCGUUGUAUAUGUACAAUAUAAAUAAAUAUAACUAAUUAUUAUAAACAAAUAAAUAACACUGGCGCGAUAUCAAAAAGUAAAACAAGGCUGUAAUUUCGUGUUUACUUAUUUAUUUUUACUUAAUACAUAUAGUAUUUAAAAUUCAUUUGUAAUGAGGUAUAACUUGGCGGAUAUGACGUCAUUUCUUAGCUUUCGUGCGUGACGUGAUAUUUAAAUAGCCACCUGAGGCGUGAUUAGAGAAACGGAUCAACACCGUUAGCGCUGCUGAAUCUUAUUGUAGUGUAAAGCAAACGCAAACAAAAACGAACGCAGUUCAGUGCGUUGUUUUUGAUCUGAGAGUAAAAUAACGACGUUUAAGCUCAGUUCCAGCUACUCCUCUUCAGCACAAGACUUUGAGAGGGAUCUCAAGAUUGGGCCCGUCUACGAGUCGCCCAGGAUGUCCAGGCGUAGUCUCCGUCU